UACAGAGGAUGCAAGCGUUAUCCGGAAUGAUUGGGCGUAAAGCGUCUGUAGGUGGCUUUUAAGUCCGCCGUCAAAUCCCAGGCUCAACUCUGGACAGGCGGUGGAACUACCAAGCUGGAGUACGGUAGGGCAGAGGGAAUUUCCGGUGGAGCGGUGAAAUGCGUAGAGAUCGGAAAGACACCAACGGCGAAAGCACUCUGCUGGGCCGACACUGACACUGAGAGACGAAAGCUAGGGGAGCGAAUGGG
rnacentral:rRNA from 1 species